CCCUUUGUAAUACGAUCACGCCUAUGCUUUCAAUAAAACAGCUGAGCAACAGAGGAGACUUUGAAGAUGAUCUACCACACUCUGUGGUGAACCAUGGAUCAGUCUUCCCUUUUGCAAAAGCGAGCUAAUAGCUGAAAAGUUGUCUGUGUGUUCCUUGACUCUACUGUGACGAUUCCUGGACCUGACAUAUUACUUGGUGCCGUGACCCGGAUCCCAACAUACCCAUUUCCUGACUUGAGGAGGAGACCAGCCGAAGCCCGUCGACAGCCAGCCUGCAUAGGACAGAGCUGAAUCAAAGCCCUGGGAGGUGACGUUCCUCGCCAGGCCGGCAAUUAGGAGUCUCCUCCACUCGACAGGACUGGAUUGACGGGAUCCGAAGCGUCCACAGGAGUCAACGAAACCGGACGGGAAAUACUCAAAACCUCGGAGACUGUGAAGCCAGGAGAUUGGGUGUUCGUUAAGGUCAUGAAAAAGAAGUGUUGGUCCAGCCCAAGGUGGGACGGGCCAUACCAGGUGCUCCUGACAACACCCACCGCAGUAAAGAUCGCUGAAAGACCCAGUUGAAUCCACCUCAGCCACUGUAAGCUGCAGAGAGUGCUGGAGCCUCCAGACGAGUAGGGGGAAAGUCCACCUACAAAGGGGGGUCACUUUAUAGUGGAUUCGUCUCAAUGGUUGUGAAGAAACCAACAGAUCCCUACUCAAUUAGGCGGAGCGCUUCUGGUGGCUCUGCAGUGUAGCAGCAAUGUCCCCGGCAACUGAGACGGACCAGCGGAGGCGCUGUCAUCGUCGGUGUGCUGAAGGAUGCUGUGCUGUAGCUGUCGUUAUCAUUUUCCUAUUUAGAGGAACAGUUUGGUGGCUCCUACAACAUGUAAAAUUAUCAGUUGAAAAGAGAGUCAAUCCAGUCAUUCCCCAUUCUUAUGCAGUAAAUGAAUGGUGGAAGUAUGCAAAUUACAUUGCAAGAAAUCAGAACAUGUCUAACUGCUAUGUGUGUACCCAUCUACCUAGCUCCGGAGUGAAUGCAGGAUUUUGGCCAUACAACGUGUCCAGUAACAAGACCCUCUGCCUCAUGGGACUGAGUACGCACCCUGGAAACGCCAGCCUAUCUCAGGCUAAACUACAGUGUACCGUUGAACCAUGCCAAAGUCCAGCAGGGUAAGGUACUAAUUGGUUUUAACUGCUCUGCUGUAAGAGAUGUCCUCGACUGGCCACAGACAGAAAACCCUGAAUCGGUGCCAGGUGUGGUCUACAUUCAUCACCUGGACAAAGGAAGUUUCCCUUGGUGUGUGGUUGUAAAUGGAAGUAAAGAACUAGGUAUCACACCCUCACAUCUGUGCAAUCAGAUUGUUUCAUUCUGUUCUAUGACUAAUUACACUGCCUGCAACAAAUGUGCGAUGGCAGCUAACUGUUCAACGAAUUCUACCUGCCUGUUCAAUGCCUGUUGGAACACUGUGUACUUACAUUCCAAAUGAAGCUAGUGAUGGUGGAGCCAUACACUGGGCUCUACAGAAUCUCACUGCCCUACAAAGGUAUGUUGAGGAUCACACCCCGGGAGCAUCGACCACGGGACUGUUGGACUGGUUGACAUAGGGCUCCUGGUGGCAAGUAUUAUUGAAAACUGUUACACCCCUUCUGAUCAUUUUGGCAUUAUUUUUUGUACUGUUUAUGUGUGUUUUACUAUGUCUUCGCAGUAAGGUUAUGCGCACUGUAAGUGCUUUCCUUCAACAUCAGAUGCUGGUACAGAAUCACAACUAUGUUCCACUGAAUGUUAACAAUGUUGACAAGUAUGAUGACCUCGAUCCUUAUGGUGAGGAUACUGUGUAAAAGAGACAUGCAUAAUGAUGUUCAUGUUGAAAAUGUGAAGAGCAAGUAACAUGGUACUGAUGAAAAUGCUGUCAAAUGAUAAACAGGAGGGAAAUGUGAGAACUGUGCAAACUUCUUAUCAUCUGCCAGCAGUAACUUAAAACACCUCCCUGAUAGAUGAGUGUAAUAUGAGACCUCAUGAUGUUUGUUCCACGUGACGGAAAAUUGAUAACAAAAAUAUGUGUUUCGAGUAAUUUCUUAACAAUCAAUUAAUCGAUAAUCGAUUAAUUGUGGUCAUCCUUAGCCAGCACUUUGUGUUCUUUCAGGAUAUGAUAAGAGGUAGCAGCACAUUGAAAAACAACUUCAAGGUGAUUCUGCCCAGCAACUUGUGACUUACUGUUGUGCAAACCAAUUAAAUAUUAUCACACCCUUUGUAAUACGAUCACGCAUAUGCUUUCAAUAAAACAGCUGAGCAACAGAGGAGACUUUGAAGAUGAUCUACCACACUCUGUGGUGAACCAUGGAUCAGUCUUCCCUUUUGCAAAAGCGAGCUAAUAGCUGAAAA